rnacentral:rRNA from 1 species
GAGUUUGAUCAUGGCUCAGAUUGAACGCUGGCGGAAUGCUUUACACAUGCAAGUCGAGCGGCAGCGCGGGGCAACCUGGCGGCGAGCGGCGAACGGGUGAGUAAUGCAUCGGAACAUGUCCAUUCGUGGGGGAUAGCCCGGCGAAAGCCGGAUUAAUACCGCAUACGCCCCGAGGGGGAAGCGGGGGACUUCGCAAGAGGCCUCGCGCGAAUGGGUUGGCCGAUGUCCGAUUAGCUAGUUGGUGGGGUAAAGGCUUACCAAGGCGAUGAUCGGUAGCUGGUCUGAGAGGAUGAUCAGCCACACUGGGACUGAGACACGGCCCAGACGUCCUACGGGAGGCAGCAGUGGGGAAUUUUGGACAAUGGGGGCAACCCUGAUCCAGCCAUUCCGCGUGAGUGAAGAAGGCCUUCGGUUGU